rnacentral:rRNA from 1 species
GACGAACGCUGGCGGCGUGCUUAACACAUGCAAGUCGAGCGGAAAGGCCCUGCUUGCAGGGUGCUCGAGUGGCGAACGGGUGAGUAACACGUGGGUGAUCUGCCCCUUACUUUGGGAUAAGCCUGGGAAGCUGGGUCUAAUACUGGAUAGGACCAUGCUGUAGGUGGUGUGGUGGAAAGAUUAGUUUCGGUAAGGGAUGAGCUCGCGGCCUAUCAGCUUGUUGGUGGGGUAAUGGCCUACCAAGGCGUCGACGGGUAGCCGGCCUGAGAGGGUGGACGGCCACAUUGGGACUGGGAUACGGCCCAGACUCCUACGGGAGGCAGCAGUGGGGAAUAUUGCACAAUGGGCGCAAGCCUGAUGCAGCGACGCCGCGUGGGGGAUGACGGCCUUCGGGUUGUAAACUCCUUUCAGCCAUGACGAAGCCCUUGUGGUGACGGUAGUGGUAGAAGAAGCACCGGCUAACUACGUG